rnacentral:rRNA from 1 species
UUUGGAAUAUUGCACAAUGGGGGGAAACCCUGAUGCAGCGACGCCGCGUGGAGGACGAAGGAUCUAGGUCUGUAAACUCCUUUUGCCAGGAAAGACUUAGGACGGUACCUGGCGAAUAAGCCCCGGCUAACUACGUGCCAGCAGCCGCGGUAAGACGUAGGGGGCGAGCGUUGUCCGGAUUUACUGGGCGUAAAGAGCGCGUAGGCGGCUAGUUAAGUGAGAAGUGAAAUCUCCAGGGCUCAACCCGGAAACUGCUUUUCAUACUGGCCAGCUGGAGGACGCAGGGGUGACUGGAAUUCCCGGUGUAGCGGUGAAAUGCAUUGAUAUCGGGAGGAACUCCAACAGCGAAGGCAGGUCACUGGGCGUUUCCUGACGCUGAGGCGCGAAAGCGUGGUAGCAAAC